UGUGAUUCCAGUUGAAAUCUGGAGGAAUGCAAGCCUGAAAAAAGGGGAGCAGCUCAACACCAGUUCAGGUCAACUAACACUUAUCUUUCACGUGAAUCAGUCUAUUAUGACUUUAACCUUUAAGAAUUGCCUGUGCUAUUAUUUCCAUGUGACUAAUUUGCACCUUCCACAGCAGUUACAGAAUCGAACACUCCAUAUAAUCCAUCUCCCUAGAAGCUCGCUAUGCCAUGUAUUCACCAUGUCACUGAUGGACUGCAGUUUGCACCUUCCACAGCAGUGUUAGACACUCAGGAGUGCAACACAAAGGUGCAACAAAAGGUAAUUUCAACUCUUUGUUUUAAAAUCUAUCACCUCUGUUAGACUCUGGAUGUGGAAUACAGCAGCGAGGAAACAGGUUGAAGUUUUAAAUACAUAAAGUGCAGUAUAAAAAGACAUGAAAGUAUACUCUACCAGCAUGUGAGUACCUUGAUGUGCAUAACCAGACCAGGGUAAAAGCAGAUUUAUUGCCUUUUGAGUUAAACUACUAUUUUGCCACAUUUUGGUUUGGGAACUAUUCAGUUAAGUCUAUGAAAUAAAUAAUGACUUAUUUUUAAUCAAUAAUUAUCAUGUGGCUGAAAUAAUUGUUGGUAUUCCACAUAAUUUUUUUUAAGACCUUUCUAGCACCAGCGAUUUACAUUUAGUGCCAUCAUGGAAACAUAAAGGUGUGACGCUGCAUUCAGGUUUUAGCGAUGGGAUUUUAGCCGUGCCCCUUUUACUCUGACCUCAUUUACAUCCACUAAUAUCACAUGACCUUCUUUGCCAACAAUAGAGGUCAAACUUUCAUUUGAAGCAUUUAGAGUUUUUAAAUUUGAACACACUCCGGAGUUAAACAGUAUUGAUCUGUCAUGUGAUUAGAUUUAAUGCAGGAGCUGGGUCAAUAGUUGAAUGUGUUACAUCUAACGCCGCUGACCUCGGUGGUGUUUAGAGGAGGGACCACUGGUGCAGUUUAUUAUUCAAUAACACACUCCUUCAAUUCCCACAAUGGCUUUCUAUUAAGGCUAAUAUUUCCUUUUACAGCAAAGUGUAAAAGGAUCAUCACAUGUUAUACACCUACACAACACCUCUGUAGGACACUGCAUAUCACAGUCAGGACUCUUCAGGAUGGUCUGUGACUGCAGUUUGUAAGGAUGCAAACUCUGGAAACGUAUUAACAUGGCUGUUUUCCUUCCUUUCACCAAUUGCCAAGCUACAGACUCCAAUACUCUCCCCUGGACUCCAGAGACCUCAGUCAUCGAUUUACUAAUGAGGGACGUGGAGAGAGCAGGAGAUGCAGGACACUGAUUGGAGACGGUGGUUAUCAGGGUUGAUAGUCUUCCUGUGGUCUCCGAGGAGCACUAACCUUCAGAUUAACAGCUGAUCACGACAACACAUGUGAUAAAAAGUGAGUAAGAAUGACAAAAACAUGACUUUGGUUGUUUUUUUUUUAUAAAAUGAUAUGAGUAUUCUUAUAACACUUUUUGACAUCAACAUACCUCUUCAUUAAACACAAUAUUAGAAGCCAUAAAA